CGUGGGUGAGGCCAUCGCAGAAGGAGACGACGCCGUGAGGAAAGUUGUGCUGCGACAGCCAGGCCACCACGCGGUGCUUCUGCAUGUCGGGCCGGCCCGUUACGUACACGAUCAGGCCAGCAAACUGAGGCUCAGCGAGGGUAGGCGGCAGGCCCAAUGUUGCAGAACUCAGGCCGUCUUCUCUUCGAGACCUCGACCACCCGGGCAGACGAGCAGGGGUAGAGCUGAAUCCUCACCUGCUGAUGUUAGGUCCGAAGGCGACCUCAAAGACCCCUCAACCUGUCCCCCAAGACUCCGAGCCUGUGCCUCAUACUGACAACAGCAGGAACGCUCACCUCCGUUGAAUACUCACCGCACGCCGGGCCCUGUACCAGACUGAUCGUGGAUUUUAUUUUGUUUGAGAGAGACAGAGCAAGAGUACGAGCAGGUGGGAGGAGCAGAGAGA